AUUUUGAGAGGUUGCUCAUUUCUCUGGUCAGGAAUGGUGUCUCCUCCACAGCAGAAGGUUGCAUCCGGAAGGAUGACUCCACGUGCUUCGCUUCCCGGGGAAUUUUCCAAGAGCCCUAUCCUGAGGAGAAAGUGGCACUAGUGGACGUGAGCAGACGGGACAUCCUUGUCAGCAGACAUGAACAGUCCUCAGCUUUCUGACUCCCGCAUAACUGGCUGACCGAGGGAAAAGAAGUCACGCCUCAGAGUCUCAAGCCUUCAUGCGAUGGAAAGCGAGCCAGAGCGACGAGACAGUGAGCAUUGUUGAUGCCAGGCAAGAGUCGUCUAUCUGGGAUGCAAGCAGACGCCACUCUCAGUGAGAUAAGUGUCUGGUUUGGUGAUUGCUGUGCUCACGGCCCACCUUGCUCCUGCUAGGGACGCCACGUUAUCUGGGACUGGGUUUGUAAGAAAUGGUUCCUGACCAGCUGUGCUU